CAGUGAACUUCCCUCUCACCCCUCGGGGAGGUUAAUUCCACUUUGACGGACACGCAUGCUGUCCAAUGCCAAACUGCGCAAGCAGCCAGUGACCAGACUAGAGGAACUUCACCAAUGAGAUAGUCGUUGCUGGGUUUAGCAAAACAAAGAUGCCCAAUGGGAAAAACCAUGGCUAGCGAGGACUGCGUUGUUUUGUUUGCUGACCGCAGGCGAACAGCUGCGAACUAGGGAUAAAGAGGUUUCCUUGAAUACCCUUUGUAAAUGAAGAGGAAGGAAUUUGGAGGUGGGAGGGAGGAAAUUCAGCCCGAGUCGGAUGCAUCUACUACGUUGGCUUGCCAGAAGAGGCAAGGAAAAUAAGCUGAGGACGGAAAUAGAAGAGAUGGUGAGUAGAUCAUUGGGCUUGGGGGAGUGAAUGGACUAUCACAGUCUUGUAUCACAGAUCU
rnacentral:lncRNA from 1 species